GGGGAUGUAGCGGAGGGGUUACCGCGCCUAGUUUGCAUGUUGAUAAGAUUGUUGCUCUAGGAGGUCCAGGGUUCAAAUCCCUGCGUCUCCA
rnacentral:tRNA from 1 species